rnacentral:lncRNA from 1 species
AAAUUUGAUUUUGAAUUAUCAAAUCAUCUAAAAAUAUAAAAAAAAUAAAAAUUAUUACUUUAUAAUAUUUAUCUACUAUAUUAAACGAUUGAAGUAAGUUAGAUAUAUUUUAUUGUGUUUUACUCGUAAAUGAAUCGUGUUACAUCUGAUCACAAUAUCAAUUUGAACAAAUAUCACAUUUGACUUAAAAACUCAUAAAAAC